UACGUAGGGGGCAAGCGUUGUCCGGAAUCAUUGGGCGUAAAGAGCGUGUAGGCGGCCCGAUAAGUCCGCUGUGAAAGUCCAGGGCUCAACCCUGGAAUGCCGGUGGAUACUGCCGAGCUCGAGUCCGGAAGAGGCGAGUGGAAUUCCUGGUGUAGCGGUGAAAUGCGCAGAUAUCAGGAGGAACACCAAUGGCGAAGGCAGCUCGCUGGGACGUGACUGACGCUGAGACGCGAAAGCGUGGGGAGCAAACAGG
rnacentral:rRNA from 1 species